CCUACGGGAGACAGCAGUGAGGGAUAUUGGUCAAUGGGCGCGAGCCUGAACCAGCCAAGUAGCGUGAAGGAUGACUGCCCUACGGGUUGUAAGCUUCUUUUAUAAAGGAGUAAAGUGAGGCACGUGUGCCUUUUUGUAUGUACUUUAUGAAUAAGGAUCGGCUAACUACGUGCCAGCAGCCGCGGUAAUACGGAGGGUCCGGGCGUUAUCCGGAUUUAAUGGGGUUAAAGGGGGCGUAGAUGGGUUGUUAAGUCAGUUGUGAAAGUUUGGGGCCCAACCGUGAAACUGCACUUGAUACUGGGAGCCUUGAGUACAGUUGGGGUAGGCGGAAUUCGUGGUGUAGCGGUGAAAUGCUUAGAUAUCACGAAGAACACCGAUUGCGAAGGCAGCCUACUAAACUGCCACUGACAUUGAUGCUCGAAAGUGUGGGUAUCAAACAGGAUUAGAUACCCCAGUAGUC
rnacentral:rRNA from 1 species